UGUUCUGUGCACAGUUAUAAUGUAACAGAUACUAAUACUACUAUUACUGGACUAUCUCCUAUUAAUGAAUACUACACUGUUACUAUCAUACCUGUUAAUGUUAUUGGAUAUGGACCAUCAGUCACUGUUAAUGUCAGUAUAACCACUACUACAUCAAGUAUCACUAACAUUAUGAUGAGUACUACUGAAUAUAUCACAACACAAGAUAAAAGUUCAACUAUGACAGCAAUUCCAACAAUCACAGAAACACAAUUAAUUACAACAACUGAAACAAUAAUAAGCAGUUAUAUUGAGAGUUAUGCUUCAUGCAAUACAACAGGGACUCCACAAGCAACAGAUGUAGGAUCAAUUAGUGGUUAGUUAAUACAUUAAGUGUAUCUAAUCUAUUGCACACAUACAGUUGCUAUUGCUGUACC